rnacentral:rRNA from 1 species
UACGUAGGGUGCGAGCGUUAAUCGGAAUUACUGGGCGUAAAGUGUGCGCAGGUGGCCGCGCAAGUCGAGUGUGAAAUCCCCGAGCUUAACUUGGGAAUUGCGCUCGAAACUACGUGGCUCGAGUGUGGCAGAGGAAGGUGGAAUUCCACGUGUAGCGGUGAAAUGCGUAGAGAUGUGGAGGAACACCGAUGGCGAAGGCAGCCUUCUGGGCCAACACUGACGCUCAUGCACGAAAGCGUGGGGAGCAAAAGGG